CCGCGGUAGAGCGAGCGCCAGCGACGCCAGCUGUCCGUUCCCCCGUCCCGGAGUAGCCGAGCCAGUCUUAGAGACGCGUCAGUCAGAAAGAUUGAACCUCCGACCCCUCCUACCGGGAACUUGGUCACCUGACGCGGAGCCGCCUCUAGUAGAACAACUUCCGGUUCCAGCCGGAAAAGGCUGGUGUGCAGCGCUGCUCUCCGGCCCAGGCGCCCGGCUGGUAAGUUCCGCCCCGGGACAGGAAGGGGAGGGCGUCUGGUCUUUCCGUAGGGUUUCCUAGCGCUGGAAGAGGAGGGAAGGCAGCUCGGUGGAUGGGCGAGCUCGCCUCGCCCGCGUGAAGACGUGGGAAUAAAUAUGUGCGUACCCGCCAGCUAAUCAUAGCAUUCAUUCGGGUGAUGGGUCAGAACUUCAAUGUCGUUUUCGAAGCAGGCUUGGGAUACAUGGGACCGUGUCGCAAAAAUAAUGGGCGGAUGAAAAAGCCAGUUCUAGAAAUACCAGUUUGGAAUGCCUUGUACAAGAAAGUAAGGGAGGGCAGGAUAGAAGAGAACAGCUCACCUUCCAGCCGCCAGGAACCAGCAAGAGAAUCCAUGAGUUUUUAGUGACAUAGAGAAGCAAACAAAGGGGCCAGGGAAAUGGCUCAUCAAUGGUGACUUCAGUCUUCAGUGGCUCUUGCUUGUAGUGCUAGGACUAGGGAAAGCAGAGAAAGGCUGAUCCCCGAGUCUGCUGGCUAGCUGCUGUGAGGGCCCUGAUGAAGAAUAAUGAAGGGCUGGUGGGAUGGCUCAGCCAGCAAAGGCACUCGCUAAACAAGCCCAUCGAGCUGACCUUGAUGCCUGGCACUCAUAAUGGAAGGAGAGAAGUGACCUCUAAAAAUCAUCCCCUGAGCUGGCCAGUGGUGGUGCACACCUUAGAUCCCAGCACUCGGAAGGCAGAGACAGGAGGAUCUCUGUGAGUUCAAGGCCAGCCUGAUCUACAGAGCCAGUUCCAGGACAGCCAGGGACUACACAGAGAAACUUUCCUGUCUCGAAAAACUACUAAUAGUAAUGCUGAUGACUCCUCUAAAGAAACCCUAGUUCAAUCUCUGCCUAUAUGAACACAUGUGCUAGUGCAUGUGCAGCCACACCCCGUGUUCAUAUAUAUACACACACAGAGAAAGAUAGACAGACCAUGAUGGCCAUAAUCCCAGGACUUGGAAGGCUGAGGCAAGAGAACUACGAAUUCAAGGCCAGCUGGGCUACAGAUACUGCCUCAAAAGCUGGCUCAAGGGUUGAAAGCACUGCUUGCCCUUCCAUGGGGCCUGGGUUCACCUCUCAGCAUGCACAUGGCAGUUCACAACCAUGUGUAACUCCAGUUCCAAGGAAUCUGAUGCCUGCUUCAGGCUUCCAUGGGCACCAGGCAUGCACAUGGUGCACAGCACACAGGUAGACAAAAUACUUAUAUACACAAAAACAAGCAAAGCACACACAGGAAAGAAAGAAAAGAAUAAACAAGGAGAAGAGAAACUUGCAGCCUCUCCUUUUAUUAGAACGGCAAGUAGUAAAUAGGAUUUGGAAGGUCAGGAGUGAGGAAACGAAACAGGAUACUUACACAGAUGUGCCUCUCACCAAUUAGUCACCACAAUGCAAAACUCGUACUGUUAUAAUCUCUUGGUCCAGAAGAACAAAUUAAUCAAGGCAACCAAUGUCAACAUCUCCUCAAUGGGUCAUGCAGCGAUCACAAGCCUCCUGAUAAGAUACAAUGAGCAGGGCACACAUCACUUCUGUGUGAUUGCUGUGUCAUUAAGUGACAGAGCUCUUCCGUAGCACUCCUGAAGUUCUGAGGCUCAUCCUCUAUACCACCAUCACCACCACCACCCCCAAAAAACCAAAGUGCAUAGCCAAAUCUCAGAAGAAAACAUUGGAUCAACUACUACAAAAUAGCUAUCCAAGUGCUGAAAAAGCAGGGACUAAAGGAGACUAAAGGAACAUGGCCACAAGAUGUUCAUGGUUUAAAGUUGCAUCCUGAGCUGAGGAAUGCAGAAGAGCUUUAAUGAACAGUACUGAGACUAAUAAUAGCAUUUACAUAUGGACGGAAGUUUAAUGUUAAUAAAUACUGUUUCACAUGGCAUAUAUAAGGACUGUAGCUUU
rnacentral:lncRNA from 1 species